rnacentral:lncRNA from 1 species
GGCUAUAUACAGGGGGGUACUGGUACAGAGUCAAUGUGGAGGCUAUAUACAGCGGGUACCGGUACAGAGUCAAUGUGGAGGCUAUAUACAGGGGGUACUGGUACAGAGUCAAUGUGGAGGCUAUAUACAGGGUGUACUGGUGCAGAGUCAAUGUGGAGGCUAUAUACAGGGUGUACUGGUACAGAGUCAAUGUGGAGGCUAUAUACAGGGUGUACUGGUGCAGAGUCAAUGUGGAGGCUAUAUACAGGGUGUACUGGUGCAGAGUCAAUGUGGAGGCUAUAUACAGGGUGUACUGGUGCAGAGUCAAUGUGGAGGCUAUAUACAGCGGGUACCGGUACAGAGUCAAUGUGGAGGCUAUAUACAGGGGGUACAGGUACAGAGUCAAUGUGGAGGCUAUAUACAGGGGGUACAGGUACAGAGUCAAUGUGGAGGCUAUAUACAGGGGGUACCGGUACAGAGUCAAUGUGGAGGCUAUAUACAGGGGGUACCGGUACUGAGUCAAUGUGGAGGCUAUAUACAGGGUGUACUGGUGCAGAGUCAAUGUGGAGGCUAUAUACAGCGGGUACUGGUACAGAGUCAAUGUGGAGGCUAUAUACAGGGGGUACAGGUACAGAGUCAAUGUGGAGGCUAUAUACAGGGGUACUGGUACAGAGUCAAUGUGGAGGCUAUAUACAGGGGGUACCGGUACAGAGUCAAUGUGGAGGCUAUAUACAGGGGUACUGGUACAGAGUCAAUGUGGAGGCUAUAUACAGGGGGUACCGGUACAGAGUCAAUGUGGAGGCUAUAUACAGGGGUACUGGUACAGAGUCAAUGUGGAGGCUAUAUACAGGGGGUACUGGUACAGAGUCAAUGUGGAGGCUAUAUACAGGGGUACUGGUACAGAGUCAAUGUGGAGGCAAUAUACAGGGUGUUACGGUACAGAGUCAAUGUGGAGGCUAUAUACAAUGGGGUACUGGUACUGAGUCAAUGUGGAGGCUAUAUACAGGGGAUACCGGUACAGAGUCAAUGUGGAGGCUAUAUACAGGGGG